rnacentral:rRNA from 1 species
CAGCAGUGGGGAAUAUUGCACAAUGGGGGAAACCCUGAUGCAGCGACGCCGCGUGAGUGAAGAAGUAUUUCGGUAUGUAAAGCUCUAUCAGCAGGGAAGAAGAAAGACGGUACCUGACUAAGAAGCCCCGGCUAACUACGUGCCAGCAGCCGCGGUAAUACGUAGGGGGCAAGCGUUAUCCGGAUUUACUGGGUGUAAAGGGAGCGUAGACGGCUGUGCAAGUCUGAAGUGAAAGCCCAGGGCUCAACCCUGGGACUGCUUUGGAAACUGUAAAGCUAGAGUGCUGGAGAGGUAAGUGGAAUUCCUAGUGUAGCGGUGAAAUGCGUAGAUAUUAGGAGGAACACCAGUGGCGAAGGCGGCUUACUGGACAGUAACUGACGUUGAGGCUCGAAAGCGUGGGGAGCAAACAGGAUUAGA